GAUGAACGCUGGCGGCGUGCCUAAUACAUGCAAGUCGAGCGAACAGAUGAGGAGCUUGCUCCUCUGACGUUAGCGGCGGACGGGUGAGUAACACGUGGAUAACCUACCUAUAAGACUGGGAUAACUUCGGGAAACCGGAGCUAAUACCGGAUAAUAUAUUGAACCGCAUGGUUCAAUAGUGAAAGACGGUUUUGCUGUCACUUAUAGAUGGAUCCGCGCCGCAUUAGCUAGUUGGUAAGGUAACGGCUUACCAAGGCAACGAUGCGUAGCCGACCUGAGAGGGUGAUCGCCCACACUGGAGCUGAGACACGGUCCAGACUCCUGCGGGAGGCAGCAGUAGGGAAUCUUCCGCAAUGGGCGAAAGCCUGACGGAGCAACGCCGCGUGAGUGAUGAAGGUCUUCGGAUCGUAAAACUCUGUUAUUAGGGAAGAACAAAUGUGUAAGUAACUAUGCACGUCUUGACGGUACCUAAUCAGAAAGCCACGGCUAACUACGUG
rnacentral:rRNA from 1 species